ensembl:lncRNA
GGGUGAACAAAAAAUGGCCGAUUUGCCUGUUGAAAGGUUGACUCCUGAUCUUCCUCCAUUUACUAAUGUUGGAGUUGAUUACUUCGGGCCAUUUGAAGUAAAACGAGGACGUUCCUUUGUAAAGCGAUAUGGUGUUAUUUUUACGUGCAUGGCUAGUAGAGCCAUACAUUUAGAAGUGGCCUAUUCUUUGGAUACAGAUGCAUGUAUUAAUGCCAUUCGAAGAUUCAUUUGCAGAAGAGGACAAGUCUCUCAUUUGAGAUCAGACAAUGGAACCAAUUUCACUGGUGCAGAAAGGGAAUUAAAAGAAGCAUUGGCAGCUUUAAACCAUGAUAAGAUUCAGAAAGUCUUUCUGCAGGAAGGAAUCAAAUGGAGCUUUAAUGCACCUACAGCCUCCCAUCACGGCGGUGCAUGGGAGCGAAUCAUUAGGAUGGUGAAAAAGAUUCUUACAUCCCUUUUGCACCAGCAGACUUUAGAUGAUGAGGGGUUACACACAGUUUUAUGUGAAGUGGAAGCGAUCAUUAAUGAUCGCCCAAUCACCAAAUUGUCUGAGGAUCCAAAUGACUUAGAGCCUCUUACCCCCAACCAUCUUCUUACUAUGAAAAGGAAACCAGUCUUGCCUCCAGGGCUAUUUGAUAGGACUGAUAUGUAUGGAAAAAGAAGGUGGAGACAAGUGCAGUACAUCUCUGACCUUUUUUGGAAAAGGUGGAUUACAGAGUACUUGCCUUUACUACAGGAACGACAAAAAUGGACCAAGAAGAAACGAAAUCUGGUGCCUGGCGAUAUAGUUCUGGUUGCAGAUACCACAGCUCCUCGUAAUUCCUGGGUACUUGGCAGGGUAUUUAAAAUAUACCCAGAUAAGAAAGGGCUGGUUAGAUCAGCACAAGUACAAACCAAAACCAGUCUCUUGACCAGACCAAUAACAAAACUUUGCCUUUUACUAGAGGGGUUAUGAGGUAUCGUAUAUAGGAACACAUUUUGUAUGUAUAUAGUUUGAAGUAUGGUAUUACUUUGGCUCCUUAUAUUGUUGUAUUAGUCAUUAAAUUGUUUAUGCCUUUUGUCAUUAACAAUUAGGGGCCGGUGUGUUGGAGCCAUUUAUGUUUUCUUUAAACUUAUGUUUAUUU